GCAGAGAGGAGUGGAGGAAGAGAGGAGUGGAGGCAGAGAGGAGUGGAGGCAGAGAGGUGUGGAGGAAGAGAGGAGUGGAGGCAGAGAGGAGUGGAGGAAGAGAGGAGUGGAGGAAGAGAGGAGUGGAGGCAGAGAGGAGUGGAGGAAGAGAGGAGUGGAGGCAGAGAGGAGUGGAGGAAGAGAGGAGUGGAGGAAGAGAGGAGUGGAGUUAGAGAGGAGUGGAGGCAGAGAUGAGUGGAGGAAGAGAGGAGUGGAGGAAGAGAGGAGUGGAGGCAGAGAGGUGUGGAGGCAGAGAGGAGUGGAGGAAGGGCGGAGUGGAGGCAGAGAGGAGUGGAGGAAGGGAGGAGUGGAGGCAGAGAGGAGUGGAGGAAGAGAGGAGUGGAGGCAGAGAGGAGUGGAGGAAGAGAGGAGUGGAGGAAGGGCGGAGUGGAGGCAGAGAGGAGUGGAGGUAGAGGAGUGGAGGGAGAGAGGAGUGGAGGCAGAGAGGAGUGGAGGUAGAGGAGUGGAGGCAGAGAGGGGUGGAGGCAGAGAGGGGUGACAUGUGUCUGGGAAAAGGAGUAAUACACACAUUGAGGUGAUCAGUGAGGUGUGUAGUGGGAAAAGGGGUAAUACACACAUUGAGGUGAUCAGUGAGGUGUGUAGUGGGAAAAGGGGUAAUACACACAUUGAGGUGAUCAGUGAGGUGUGUAGUGGGAAAAGGGGUAAUACACACAUUGAGGUGAUCAGUGAGGUGUGUAGUGGGAAAAGGGGUAAUACACACAUUGAGGUGAUCAGUGAGGUGUGUAGUGGGAUAGAGAGAGGAGCUGUGACAUGGUAAAUACCUUCUGGAAAACUGAGAGACUCUAAAGGUUCCGUUCUGCAAGGCUCAGGACAGGUAGUGAUGGAGGGGGAACAGUCAGACCAGGGCUUGAACCGGAGACCCUGGGUUACAGGGCAGGCAUUCUGCCAUAAAGGUCCAGACCUCUUGGCAGAGGGCGUAGUGUGCUCACAUACAAGGAGACAACCCAACAUAGACCAGGGGCUGAUACAGUGGAUUGAUUCAUCAGUGUCAAACCAAACGUGUGGCUUAGUUAGAAAUGGACUCUUUGGUUCA
rnacentral:lncRNA from 1 species